GAAAGGAGGGAUGGACAAAAGCUUGCCUUGCUUGGAAAUAUACUGUCAGAAACCAACCUUCGAUGCACUUUCAGGUAGGGUGUGGGUUUGGAAUCUCACUCUAAGGAACAGAAAGGACACAUAUCAAGGUUGAUACUGCUGUAAAGAUGACAACAUGACAAUAUUGACAUGAGGCACCUAUCAAACAGGAUCUGCAUUAUGUGUACACGUUUUUUGUAAAAUUGUGUUCUGGUAAGGUACUGCAUUGGAACCAUACUUUUAUCCUUAAGACUGCCAAAAUGAUGCACAACACAGUGAGAGAGGAACUUUUUACAAAUGUGUUAGAAGAAAAGAGAAUCUUUGACAAAAUGGAAGAAAUGAAGCCACCAGAAUUUCUCAUUGUGGUAUGGAAACUAGCAGAAACUUCAAUAGAUGCAGAUCCCUAAAUUCUCCCAGAAGAACUACUGAAGAGAAAUCAAGGUGUCGAGGCAGAAAGGAGGAAGAAAUUCUCCAUAUAACAGGCCCAGAGAUUUUGAUUAGCUACAGUACCUUCCCAGUGGAUAAGAUUUCAAAUUGUUAAAUAAUCUUUUAAGUGUUUCAAGAACAGUUAAAGUGAUGUCGUUGUUUAAUUAACACAAAAAUGAUUUUAGUGAAAUCAUAUUUUAUUUACCAGAUAACAGCAUGGUAAAACCUAGUCUUUUGUAUUUGAUUAGUUAACAAAUGGACACAAGAAUUAACCUGCUCAACGCUUUCUGAAUAAAAUAUUUCCAUCAAAUUAACUUUGUUUAUUUUUUGUAAAAAAUGGAUGCCUUUUUCACAAUUUUGUUGUUUCCCCCUAAAUUUUUCAUUAGUUUUUUUUAAUCAAGUGGUGUAUAGAAAAUUUUAUAAAAAUGGUUAGUAAAAAUUUUCAUUUACUGAAAACAGUAGAAAAUUUGAAAAAUUGAAAGAAGGGUGUUACGAAC